AAGCCUCUCUCCCUCUACUUUUUAAGACUCUUCAUAGAUCUGCGUAUAUCCAUCCGAUUCAAGGGUUUCAUAACAAUCGAUCUUCUUUACAACUACAUCAAGGUACGAUUGCGAUAUAAGAUAUUAUAAUGAUAAGGUGUUCUUAUGUUUUCUUUGUAGAACCAACAUAGAUUUUUUCAAUAUUUAUUGACGAUUGUUGAUCUUGAUUUUUUUUUCAUGUUUUGAUUUGUGAAUCGUUCGAUAUUAUCAUCCGAACUGUUUCUUCUCAUCAUUAAUCAUUGGAUUCCUAAUUCGUAUCACUACAACAACGUCAAUACACCAGGGUUUGUCGUCUUCCAGCACAGAUCUUCCAAGGUGAUCUAAUGCUUCAUUAACAAGUUGUAGGGUGAUUGCAUUUGUUAUGGCUCUUCUAGAUUCUUCAACAACAGAUAGGUUACUAUUGUUGUCUAAAUCCAAAGUGAGGUUGUAGAGACUUUCCGUGCAAAGAGGGCAAUAAAAAGUCCAGCUAUGCUGUUGGAUCUUCUGUUCAAGCGUAGAAAUAACAGGGUAUAUGCAAUAUGGGAUGUCACUGAUAGAAUUACAAUCGUUUCCACGAGGGAAAUGUAGGUUUAAAGAUCAACGAGGUGUCAUCGGUAAAUCCAGUAGUUGUUGCUCCAUUUUUGAAUUGGCCAAGGUCCAUCCUCCACAAUAAACACUGAAGCCAGACCCGAACUGAUGUGUAUGUUUAAGUGGCAGUGCAUAAUCCAGGAGCACGAGCUUGGACUUGGUCUUGGCGAGAUUCCUGGAGCAUAUUCGUUAUUUCUUCCGCACGUGCUUGACCAAUAUGGAUGUUAUGGAGUUCGUGGGGGACUUGCAUGAAAUGCAGAUAGUUAGUUAGCUUAGAUAUUUUCCAUUUUUAAGGGGAUAGCUGUCACACCCCCAAAAUCCCACCUGCGGAGUACUACCGCAUGGAGGCGUGACUGACCAGGAUCCAGCCACCAAUCAUACUGAACAAGCAUAUAAUGAUUAUAAAAGUUUAACUAAUACGAUUGGUGUUUCAAAACAAUAAAGUUUAAGUUGCAAGCGGAAGCAUAAGUUUAAAGUUAUAAUAUAAGUCCAAAAGUUUCAAGUUAACAGAACACGUAGCAAUCCGUGUCCCACAACGAUCCUCCUCCAUGCAAGCUCCAGCUGAGUACCUAUGGUCCUGCAAAGCAUGUAGUAA
rnacentral:lncRNA from 1 species